rnacentral:lncRNA from 1 species
GGCAGGAAGUCCCUCUCCUUCGGACGUGAUUGACAGGAUCGACUUCCUACGGCUUCGUACAGACACAAGGCCCUGCGCACCCACACUGGCCCUUCCCCCCUGCGGGCUGUCCCUCACGCACUCACCGUCCUGGGUCCCGUCGUUCUCAGCGCGGGCCGCGGCAGCGGUCGGGAGGCGGGGUUAGGGUCGGAGGUCGUGUUUCCGGGGUCCGCAUCGGGGGUCGCGGCGGCGGCGGGGUCAGAGGUCGUCCCUGGGUCCCGGAUGCGGCGGAGGGCGUGGCUGAGCGCGCGCUGCGUGUGAGGAUCGCCGAGCCAGCGCCGGAAGAGCUCGUCCACCUUCAGCUGUAGCCGCGGCGUCAGCGGCGCCAUGGCAACCAGAAGGCGCGGGGAGUGAUGGCGUCACCGACGCGACAGAUGUGGGGUGGAGUCGGGCGAAUCCCGGAAGAACGUGCGGCGUAUAACCUCAGUCGGCCGUGGGUUCCACGAGAGGCUGCGUUCCGGGUGAUGGCGACACGGGUUACGCGACAACGGAAGGGGCGUGGUUGCAUCCGCAAACGCUCGGCAGUCACGGUUUCAAAAUAAAAAAUGGAAAAAAAAAAAAAAUCCUUGGCCCGGGCGCAGGCUGAUGGCAUCAGCAAGUCAGGUCGCCGCGUGGAGGCCGUGCGCGCAUGCGCAGUGACUUCCCCCGGCCACGGGCUCGCAUGCGCUGGGGGUGUGCGCCGGCUUGGGGUCCCGAUGCGUAUGCGCGUUGGGUUUCUGUUGCAGGCAGCGCACAUGCGCAUUGCGUUUACUUCCAAGUUGGCUGCACAUGCGUGUCGCAGAAGUGCGGGUCUGGCGAGUACAAAGAAGCCUGGCUUCGCGCAUGCGUAUCGUGACGUAUGACAGCGAGUAUGGCCUGGUGCCAUCAGUCAUCCUGGAAGCUCCGCUCACUUUUAAAAAAUAAUCUCAUUGG